rnacentral:tRNA from 1 species
GCACUAAGUGCGGAGCCAGAUUCUGCGCUGCCCUCCGAAGGCAGAGGUCACAAGUUCGAAUCUUGUCGGGUGCACCA